rnacentral:lncRNA from 1 species
GAGCCUUUCCGUCAUUUCCCCCUAAGCAAGUGGCAAAAAAUAAUGAAGGCCGGUAAGAAAGACGAGGCAACUAGCUUAGUAACUUUACUCAAUCUAAAUGCCCUAUCUACCUUUAAAUGAGAGGGGGAUGGGGAUUAAUCAGAAGAAAUAAGCCAGAGAGCCCACAUUAAAAAUUUCUACAGAAUCAACAUCCGAAACUGGAGGCAUCUGACUGAAGAGUGGGCCGUGUGUACAUCAAAUAGAAGGCUGCUAGAUCCCGUCUCAAAUUGUCCACUCCUCGUCAUAAUUAACCUUAAUACUGCAUCACACUGGGGGUGAAAUCUGAUGGCAGCUUAAUCCCAUUCCCACCUAGCGUUAUUCUCAAUUUUCAUUACUGAUUGUUUCUGAUAGACAGUGUCUUUGAGAGGCCAUGAUGAAGAAGAAGGCAAAUAGAAAGAGGAGCUGUCAGCUACCAUAAAAAAAGUGAUGGAUGUGAUUGUCGAUACCAGCUGCAGGCUUGACUAAGUCUUACUUCAAGUACCAAAGUUACUCCGCACACCAGAGCUGCGUAGGGACAGCCCACGACUCUGUCCUAGGCUGGGGCGGGAUAUCUUCCCCAUGGUCUCCUACAAACUACCAAAUAAUAUCUUCCUCUUUUGCAGCUCUUGAACUGGUUCAUCGUAUAAAUCUUUGAUCGCAUAAUUAACUAACGUGCCUGGAGAUCGGUUUAGAACUUAAUGAAUGAAUCCUGAUGGGUCGCACACAAGGAGUGGGCUUAAUUGAUGUAUUAAACCGACUUCCGAAUGGUCCAAUUGAAAGAGGCCUGAGACAGUUUGCAUGGGAAGGCUUCCAUUUUCACGGAGCAUUAGCAUUCCCUUUUGUAUAUAGUGUUCCCACUUCACCUCCAUAAGUAAUAUUCUCGAUUUCUUUUAAUAUAUUCCGUUUAUUAACGUUUAUCCAUCAUUCUAGAAUAUGCUUGAGUUCAUGUGCAUCCAAUUUACCCUACCUAGAAAAUAAUCAGUCAUUUAAAUCAUCAAUCCCAAGUUAUUU